rnacentral:rRNA from 1 species
AUGCCACCCGAGGUAAACAACACUACAGUAGUUUUAGUCCCUAAAAUCCCAAAACCGAUCAAAAUCACAUACUUCCGUCCAAUUAGUUUGUGCAAUGUAAUUUACAAGGUGGUCUCAAAAUGUAUGGUCAACCGGCUGAGACCGGUGCUUGAUGGUAUUAUUUCUCCUACUCAAAGUGCUUUCAUCCCGGGACGGAUGAUCACUGAUAAUUCGUUGAUCGCUUUUGAGUGUAUUCAUCAUAUUAAACAGGAGAAAGACCCCACAAAGAGUUUUUGUGCUUACAAGCUAGAUCUCUCUAAAGCUUAUGACAGGGUUGAUUGGAACUACCUUAAGCAAAUGAUGCAAAAGCUUGGCUUUGCUCACCGUUGGGUUGAUUGGAUUAUGUCAUGUGUAACCUCGGUGAGAUAUUCCGUGAAAUUUAAUGAAGCCAUCUUGGAUUCUUUUGCACCGUCGCGUGGGCUACGGCAAGGUGACCCUUUGUCCCCAUACUUGUUUCUCUUUGUUGCUGAUGGUCUCUCUGCUCUAUUCAAUAAGGGCAUUGCCUCAGGUGAUUUGUGCCCUCUGAAGAUUACCAGAAGAGCACCAGGAAUCUCUCAUCUUCUGUUCGCCGAUGGUAUGCUUUUAUUCUUCAAAGCUAAUGUGCAGCAAGCUCAAUACGUGAGGCAAUUAUUGCAAGAUUAUGGGCAUGCCAUUGAUCAACUAUUAAACCCCGCUAAAUCAUCCAUUCUGUUUGGGGCCUCCUGCCCGGAAGAUACCAUGGAAGCGAUCAAAAAUCUUUUGGGUGUCACCGCUUCUGGUUUUAAGGAGAAGUACCUAGGCUUACCCACCCCUGAUGGGCGGCUAACUAAGGGUAAGCUUCAAAAUUUGCAAGUCAAGAUGAGUAAGCGCUUAUUUGCUUUUGAUGGACAUCCCACACAGGCUGGUAAAGAAGUUUUGGUUAAGUCAGUUGCUCAAUCAAUUCCUACCUUUAUUAUGAGUGUGUUCAAGAUUCCUCUUGCUAUUUGCGAUGACCUGAAUCGUAUGGUUCGGAACUAUUAUUGGGGAGCGGAGAAGGGUAAAAGAAAGACUCAAUGGUAUGCUUGGCACAAGAUGACCCGUCCUAAAUAA